CCUAUCGCCGAAGAACAUCUGGUAUCAUAUGUGGCAUCUGGCCUCGAUUUUGACUACAACCCCAUGUUGUCAUUGAUCAUGACUCAAAACAAGUUGGUCACCCUUGGUGAGUUUUAUUCACGUAUUCUCUUUUGAAG
rfam:Triticum aestivum genome assembly, contig: Triticum_aestivum_CS42_TGACv1_scaffold_272524_3DS